ACAGUGCACCCAGCUGGGCGCUUCGGCAGUUUGCAGCUGCGGCGGGGUCGGGUCCACCCGCGGUCCCCGGAAUGCCGGACGGCUGAUCCCGGGUGCUGGUCACUCGCCGAUUCGGGGCUGGGAAGGUUUGCCAGAAGCGGGAAAGAUGGGAGAUCUGAGCGCUCUCUUGGCAUCGCCACACCCAGGACUUGCUCGUGCCGCAAUUCCCCACGGAAACAACCGAGUUGAAACGAGAAGCUUGCUCUCUGGGUGCAGUAGCUAGAAGGCUUCAGGUAACUCCAAAGCCAACACUGGGUGAGGCAACACACGCCGCCUCAGGACUCAGCAUUUCUUUCAGGCUGCGUUUUCGUGGCAGACCUACCCAGAUUGAUGGAGAAAGUUUGGCUGGCGGAUAAGAAGUAACGCGGAAGAUGUGUACGUGAGAGCGAUUUCACUUCACUCACUUUCUCAUUUAAAGAUUAUUGUGGCUGUCACUCAGGUUUUCUGCUCAUUGGUAGACAAAGGGUGAGGAGGUGACUGAAAUUGGAACAGUGGAAGGACCCUUCACCAAAACCUGGAACUUCAGAAGAAUGGCAGGGCUGAAAAUGAUUAGUGUUAAUUCAUUCCAGUUGUGUUACCCUACCCAUAAGACUGCCUGAAGGAGCCUGAACUUCCACGUGCUGUCUUCCAUAUAAUGUGAUCUGAGGUGAAGAGCAUGGUCCCUGGAGUUGAACUGCCUGAAGUAAAUCCCAAAAUAGAAAAAUAAAAAUAAAACAGUGGUUUUAUUGUUUU
rnacentral:lncRNA from 1 species